rnacentral:rRNA from 1 species
UACGUAGGGUGCGAGCGUUGUCCGGAAUUAUUGGGCGUAAAGAGCUCGUAGGCGGCUUGUCACGUCGGUUGUGAAAUCCCCGGGCUCAACCCGGGAACUGCGUCCGAUACUGGAAGGCUUGAAUCCGGGAGAGGGAUGUGGAAUUCCAGGUGUAGCGGUGAAAUGCGCAGAUAUCAGGAGGAACACCGAUGGCGAAGGCAGCCCCCUGGGACCUGACUGACGCUCAUGUACGAAAGCGUGGGGAGCAAACAGG